AUUGAACGCUGGCGGCAUGCCUUACACAUGCAAGUCGAACGGUAACGCGGGGCAACCUGGCGACGAGUGGCGAACGGGUGAGUAAUGCAUCGGAACGUGCCCAGUAGUGGGGGAUAGCCCGGCGAAAGCCGGAUUAAUACCGCAUACGACCUACGGGUGAAAGCGGGGGAUCGCAAGACCUCGCGCUAUUGGAGCGGCCGAUGUCAGAUUAGGUUGUUGGUGGGGUAAAGGCCUACCAAGCCUGCGAUCUGUAGCUGGUCUGAGAGGACGACCAGCCACACUGGGACUGAGACACGGCCCAGACUCCUACGGGAGGCAGCAGAGGGGAAUUUUGGACAAUGGGCGCAAGCCUGAUCCAGCCAUGCCGCGUGCGGGAAGAAGGCCUUCGGGUUGUAAACCGCUUUUGUCAGGGAAGAAACGCUCUGGGCUAAUACCCCGGGGUAAUGACGGUACCUGAAGAAUAAGCACCGGCUAACUACGUGCCAGCAGCCGCAGUAACAC
rnacentral:rRNA from 1 species